rnacentral:misc_RNA from 1 species
GUGAAUCAUCAAAUCUUUGAACGCACAUUGCGCUCCCUGGUAUUCCGGAGAGUAUGCCUGUUUGAGGGUCAGUUUAAACAUCAAUCGGUGUGUGGGCUGCGUUGCGUGGUGACGCACCGGAUUUAGGUCGUCUUGCCUUCAGUUAAGUGACCUAAAAUUGUGCAUGAUUUUUUCGAACGUUUGUAAAUGCAUUUACGUACGUUUGCGAUAUCGAAUACUAGUUGUGGUCAUUCUCAU